CUGGCCUCGCUGCCGCGGUACAGCCCAUCUGGCCCCAAGCCCGCCCCAGCUGGGCCGCCCGACGCCCCGGUCGCCGGGGGCCCUUACAGCCCCGCAGAGGUCUGAGACUAGGGCAGAAGCGCCAGGCGUCAGGCGUCUACCCAUGCCGGCACCUGGGCUAGCCGCUGUGUUCAUCCUGAUGGGGCAGAAGCCGCCCUAGAAGGACCAUCCAGGAUGUGCCACACAAACCCCAUCCCCGUCCCUGCCACUGCCUCCCCCCCCCCCCCGCAGACGCACCCAAUACAGCAGCAGGCGGCAUCUCAGGAUUAGAGGUCAGCUUUCUGGAGCCAGCCACUGUGGUUGCAGAUCCCCAGAGAUCAUUCUAGAUGCCAUAUAUGCAGUGACUUGGAGGAUCCGGUGGUCUUUUUGGGAGAUGCUGAAGCCUGAACCCGAAUGAGGGAGAUGCAAGGUUCUGGACAAGUGGGAAUGACAGGGCCUGCUGUAAGGACCUGAGCAGGUUGGGAAGGCUUCGAUGAAGUAAGUCAGGAAGGGCCUGAGCAUCUUCUGCAAGGAAACCAUUCAGCCCGAGAGAGAGGGACAACCUGAAGUCAGCCCCCACCUCACUCCAUCAAGGGGGUUAAGGGUUCUGCCUGAGUGCAAGGUCUUGUCUGGUGAGGAUCUCACGUGAUGCCCCCUCCCUACUUCGAGCCAGGAUCCUUGCCAGCCCACUGACCUAUUGCUGUGAUGUGCGUCUGAUUCUGCAAAGGAUGACAGCAUGACCCCCAUUUUCCAAAUGAAGAAGCGGAGGCUCAGAGAGGUUGAGUGGUUUGCCAAGGCCACACAGCAAAUACGGAGUAGAGGUGAUGCUUGGGUCACCUUAGCUGCCUUGCUGGGCUUGAAUCUGAAUUCCAGAUGUGGACGACUCCCCAGGCUACAUCUUCAAGGCAGACUUCGCUCCGGAGCUCCAGACUAUAAUCUCCCUAUCCCUGGAUAUCUCCAUCUGGACCUCCGAUGGGCUUUUCCAAUUCCGCAUGUCCAAGACCGCCUUCCUCAUACUUGCCACCCACAGACCUGCUUCCCUUCCGGGGUCCUCCGACAGGCAGCCCCCUCACCCACGCCAGAAACCUGGGAGUCAGCUUUCACACCCUCAUAUGCCGUCAGCGACCGAGCCCAGGGAACUCUCUUCCAUCUGCUUCCUUCCAUCUCACCUGCUGCAGCACCUCUGACCACAUCUGCUGCUCUCACCCCCACUACCUUGGGGGCUCCCCCUUCCUCCGGGCCCCCCAGAGUGCUCUUCCUAAAGCACGAAGAAGUCAUUCCUGGUGAAAGCCCCUGCCUACAGGACAAAGACUGAACUUCUUAACAUGACACCCAAGGCCCUGAAUGGCUCAGCUCAGCUGAAUAAAUCCAUGAAUGUCACUCAUUCUUGUCUGGAACAUAUUCCACACCUGCCCCCAGCUCCCACUCAAGCCUCAGUUUAGACCGAGCCUGGUCUCAACAGCUUUCUG